CCCAGACUCCUACGGGAGGCAGCAGUGGGGAAUAUUGCACAAUGGGGGGAACCCUGAUGCAGCGACGCCGCGUGGGUGAAGGAGUAUUUCGGUAUGUAAAGCCCUCUCAGCAGGGAAGAACAAUGACGGUACCUGACUAAGAAGCACCGGCUAAAUACGUGCCAGCAGCCGCGGUAAUACGUAGGGGGCAAGCGUUAUCCGGAUUUACUGGGUGUAAAGGGAGCGUAGACGGCAGUGCAAGUCUGGAGUGAAAGGCGGGGGCUCAACCCCCGGACUGCUCUGGAAACUGUACGGCUGGAGUGCAGGAGAGGUAAGUGGAAUUCCUAGUGUAGCGGUGAAAUGCGUAGAUAUUAGGAGGAACACCAGUGGCGAAGGCGGCUUACUGGACUGUAACUGACGUUGAGGCUCGAAAGCGUGGGGAGCAAACAGGAUUAGAUACCCGGGUA
rnacentral:rRNA from 1 species